rnacentral:rRNA from 1 species
UACGGAAGGCAGCAGUGGGGAAUAUUGCACAAUGGGCGAAAGCCUGAUGCAGCUAUGCCGCGUGUAUGAAGAAGGCCUUAGGGUUGUAAAGUACUUUCAUCGGGGAGGAAAAAACAAAACUAAUAAUUUUAUUUCUUGACGUUACCUGAAAAAGAAGCACCGGCUAACUCCGUGCCAGCAGCCGCGGUAAUACGGAGGGUGCUAGCGUUAAUCAGAAUUACUGGGCGUAAAGAGCACGUAGGUGGUUUUUUAAGUCAGAUGUGAAAUCCCUGGGCUUAACCUAGGAACUGCAUUUUGAAACUGAAAUACUAGAGUAUCGUAGAGGGAGGUAGAAUUCUAGGUGUAGCGGUGAAAUGCGUAGAUAUCUGGAGGAAUACCUGUGGCGAAAGCGGCCUCCUAAACGAAUACUGACACUGAGGUGCGAAAGCGUGGGGAGCAAACAGGGAUUAGAUACC